GACGAACGCUGGCGGCGCGCUUAACACAUGCAAGUCGAGCGAGAACCGGGGCUUCGGCCCCGGGGACAGCGGCGAACGGGUGAGUAACACGUGGGUAAUCUGCCCUCGGCACCGGGAUAGCCCGGGGAAACCCGGAUUAAUACCGGAUUGCCCCCUCCGGCCUUCGGGCUGGCGGGAAAAGGUAGCUUCGGCCUCUGGCCGAGGAUGAGCCCGCGGCGGAUUAGCUUGUUGGUGAGGUAAUGGCUCACCAAGGCAACGAUCCGUAGCUGGUCUGAGAGGACGAUCAGCCACACUGGGACUGAGACACGGCCCAGACUCCUACGGGAGGCAGCAGUGGGGAAGUCUUGCGCAAUGGGCGAAAGCCUGACGCAGCGACGCCGCGUGAGGGAUGAC
rnacentral:rRNA from 1 species